CUGGCCGUAAACGAUGAAUGCUAGGUGUGGGUGUAGCGAUACAUCUGUGCCGUAGUUAACGCGUUAAGCAUUCCGCCUGGGGAGUACGAUCGCAAGAUUGAAACUCAAAGGAAUUGACGGGGGCCCGCACAAGCGGUGGAGCACGUGGUUUAAUUCGAUGCAAACCGAAGAACCUUACCUGGGUUUGACAUGUACGUAUUACUGAGAUGAAAGUCGAGGGACCUCGUCUUCGGAUGGGGAGCGUACACAGGUGC
rnacentral:rRNA from 1 species